rnacentral:ncRNA from 1 species
CUACCUAUUUCUCUGAAUGUCAAAUUAAAGAAAUUCAGUGAAGCACUGGCAAACGAUGAGAGUAAUUAUGACUCCCUUAAGGCAUUUAAUUAGUGACAUGCGUGAAUG